AAUCAACGCUGGCGGCGUGCCUAACACAUGCAAGUCGAACGCGAAAGUGGAGCAAUCCAUGAGUAGAGUGGCGAACGGGUGAGUAACGCGUGGGUGACCUGCCUUCGAGUGGGGGAUAACGUCUCGAAAGGGACGCUAAUACCGCAUAACAUCCUGCCUUUCAACAGGCGGCGAUCAAAGCCGGGGACCGCAAGGCCUGGCGCUUGGAGAGGGGCCCGCGUCCGAUUAGCAGUUGGUAGGGUAAUGGCCUACCAAGGCGACGAUCGGUAGCCGGCCUGAGAGGGCGGACGGCCACACUGGGACUGAGACACGGCCCAGACUCCUACGGGAGGCAGCAGUGGGGAAUUGUUCGCAAUGGGCGCAAGCCUGACGACGCAACGCCGCGUGGAGGACGAAGAUCUUCGGGUCGUAAACUCCUGUCGAGCGGGACGAAACCCUCGAGUGUGAAUAGCA
rnacentral:rRNA from 1 species